UGUUCAUUGAAUCAACAAUGUCGUCAGUAGUUCAUGUCAGGGUUUGUGAUUCUAGUUUUUUGACCUGCGGGUAGUAGUUUUUUGUAUUAUUGAUUGGUAUAUUCUUAGAAGAAUAUUAGAAAUAUAGAAGCUGGCUCUUGAUGUUUAUUCAAGAAAAUAGGAAUUUCAUUCAUAUAGUAAGUGUAAUUUAACUGCCCCAUAGUUUACUUUGAGUCAUUCAGAUAUAUAGUUUUAGCUUGCCUUUUGAAUUUCUUCCUUUCUUGUUUGUACCUAAUUUAACUGGUAAAGAUUCCGAUUAGGCAUUGUGUGAUUUGAAACUUUAAAGUCUUCUUUUUAAACUCAACUUGUUCUUCCCUUUAGAAAACACUUUGAUUGUCUUACUUAUUAAAAGAAAAGAACUCUAAUUUUAUUGUUUAUUUCAGCACAACAUAGAAACAUGGAUAAUCUAGAACGUGGUUGGAUGUACAAGAGUAUGGAUGGCUGAGGGGGUAUUAAUUCUAGUUUCAUAACCGGUGUGGAUAAAUUUCUCCUGUUUUGCAUGUUCUGGGCGAAAUUGCAUGAGUGGUGACAGAAGUCAUUAAUCUUUCAGUGAGUGGUUCAAACAUUAGAUAUCAGAGGUAUGUUGUACUUUAACAAAUUAGAGCUUCUUAAUAUACAAAAUAUUACUCUAGCUAGGACCCUUGAAGGACAAUAAGAUCUUAAGUUUAUUAAAAUUGGAAAGUAGCUGCAAGCUUCUAAGAUAAAUUUGAGUUACUGCUGUAAACUUUUGGCAUUAGACAUUGAUUUGUUGUUGGUUAGAACUUGAAAAUUGCAUUAUUUAGUGCUUCAUGGGAAUUCUGCUACUGAAUCACACAAACUAGAAGAAGAAUAAAUCACUCCACACCCCUGUCCAGCUUUGGCCAUCCCUCUCCUUCUCAAAUCAUAGAAGACUACCAGCGAGGUUUCAAUUGUUGGAAACAAUGAGCUUUGUGGGGGUGUUCUAGAGUUACUUUUAUGUUGAUGGCUGUUAUUGAAGUAUGAAUUUGAAAUUACAUUGCUUAACAGUUCAGGAUAUAGCUCAUGAAUUAUUAGAGUAACAGUGAUCUCAAUAGGAGUAGAUGGACGUUGCAACUUGGAUAUAUUACGAGACCGUGGGAGGAGAGAUGAAGAUAAGCGUUUAUGUCCUUGGGUCCUACUUUCGAUCCCGAUGAACAUCACUCUCCAACACCACAUUAGUUAGCUUUGUCUUUCAGGCUCUAUUCUAUUAGUUAAACAACAAUUAUGAACGUUGUUGAUGCUUUAGGAUUUAUGUAAUUUUGAAUCGAUUGUUAAUCUUCAAAUUAUUUAUAUGAAAUCGGGUUCUUGUAAUGUUU